UUCCUAUAACCACUUUCAGGUGCUCGAUAUGAGCAUAAAAGGGAACCCUGUGUAAAUCAGGGACGGGCCCGCCGCUGUAACCGGGGACGAACUCUGCAUGAUGUCACUGACCAUAGGUCGGGAAGACGCAGCCAGUAGAAUGAUCCGGAAGUCAGAAGACCUGCCUGAAACGAGUAGCGAUA
rnacentral:ncRNA from 2 species